GACGAACGCUGGCGGCGUGCUUAACACAUGCAAGUCGAACGGAAAGGCCCUGCUUUUGUGGGGUGCUCGAGUGGCGAACGGGUGAGUAACACGUGAGUAACCUGCCCUUGACUUUGGGAUAACUUCAGGAGACUGGGGCUAAUACCGGAUAGGAGCUCCUGCUGCAUGGUGGGGGUUGGAAAGUUUCGGCGGUUGGGGAUGGACUCGCGGCUUAUCAGCUUGUUGGUGGGGUAGUGGCUUACCAAGGCUUUGACGGGUAGCCGGCCUGAGAGGGUGACCGGCCACAUUGGGACUGAGAUACGGCCCAGACUCCUACGGGAGGCAGCAGUGGGGAAUAUUGCACAAUGGGCGGAAGCCUGAUGCGGCAACGCCGCGUGCGGGAUGACGGCCUUCGGGUUGUAAACCGCUUUCGCCUGUGACGAAGCGUGAGUGACGGUAAUGGGUAAAGAAGCACCGGCUAACUACGUG
rnacentral:rRNA from 1 species